UAGUCAUAUGCUUGUCUCAAAGAUUAAGCCAUGCAUGUCUAAGUAUAAACAAGUUUAUACUGUGAAACUGCGCACAGCUCAUUAUAUCAGCAAUAAUUUAUUUGAUGGUUACUUACUACAUGGAUACCCGUAGUAAUUCUAGAGCUAAUACAUGCGUUAAAGUCCCGACUCCUUCACGGGGGGAGGGAUGUAUUUAUUAGAUAAAAAACCAAUGGCUUCUUCAGCAAUGGAGGAGUCCUCUUUGGUGAUUCAUAAUAACUGUUCGAAUCGCAUGGC
rnacentral:rRNA from 1 species